GAUGAACGCUGGCGGCGUGCCUAAUACAUGCAAGUCGAACGAACAGACGCGGAGCUUGCUGCUUGCUCGUUUGCGGCGGAGGGGAGAGACACACGUGGAUCAUCUCCUUAACUGUCUGAGAUCUCUUCGGGACUCCGGCGCAUAUCGCAGAGAAUCUCCUGCUCCACAUUGUUCAUUGGUAAAAUACGGCUUUGCUGUCUCUUCUCGCUGCUUAUGCGCUGGUUUAGCUAGUUGUUAAGGUCACAGCUUACCAAGGCUACGAUGCGUAGCCGACCGGAGAGGGGGAUCGGCCACACGGGAACGGAGACACGGUCCAGACUCCUACGGGAGGGAGCAGUAGGGAAUCUGCCGCAACGGGCGAAAGCAUGACGGAGCAACGCCGCGUGAGUGAUGAAGGUCUUCGGAGCGUAAAACUCUGUUAUUAGGUAAGAACAAAUGUGGAAGUAACUAUGCACUUCGUGACGGUACCGAAUCAGAAAGCCACGGCUAACUACGUG
rnacentral:rRNA from 1 species